GAUGAACGCUGGCGGCGUGCCUAAUACAUGCAAGUCGAGCGAACGGACGAGGAGCUUGCUUCUCUGACGUUAGCGGCGGACGGGUGAGUAACACGUGGAUAACCUACCUAUAAGACUGGGAUAACUUCGGGAAACCGGAGCUAAUACCGGAUGAUAUUUUGAACCGCAUGGUUCAAUAGUGAAAGACGGUUUUGCUGUCACUUAUAGAUGGAUCCGCGCUGCAUUAGCUAGUUGGUAAGGUAACGGCUUACCAAGGCAACGAUGCAUAGCCGACCUGAGAGGGUGAUCGGCCACACUGGAACUGAGACACGGUCCAGACUCCUACGGGAGGCAGCAGUAGGGAAUCUUCCGCAAUGGGCGAAAGCCUGACGGAGCAACGCCGCGUGAGUGAUGAAGGUCUUCGGAUCGUAAAACUCUGUUAUUAGGGAAGAACAUAUGUGUAAGUAACUGUGCACGUCUUGACGGUACCUAAUCAGAAAGCCACGGCUAACUACGUG
rnacentral:rRNA from 1 species